UCCCUGGUGGUCCAGUGGUUAGGACUCAGUGCUUUCACUGCAGUUGCCUGGGUUCAGUCCCUGGUUGGGGAA
rfam:Ovis aries breed Texel chromosome 2, whole genome shotgun sequence.